rnacentral:lncRNA from 1 species
UUUAGUUCAAUCCUUCUCCGUCGUCUUCCUCUACUGGCUGUACUACGUUUCAUAACGUCUGCUGCUAAAUCUACGUUAAUUAGCCUCUAUAUCUAUCUUUCUAUUAUAUCGUCGUGUCUAUUUCCCGAAAUAUUUGCAUAACUACUAGCUGGGUCCUGUCGUAAGCCUUACAAUAAAUCUACUAUUAGCUGAGUAUUGGGUGUCGAAUAAUUUGCACGAAGCCACGAACUAUUGGCAAUCGAUCUCAUGGCUUCCUCGAGCGGAACGUCUUCCGGGUCAACCUUGAUCCAGAACUCGGGAUCAGAGGAGAGUCUGCAGGCCUUGAUGGAUCAGAGGAAGAGGAAGAGGAUGAUCUCCAACCGCGAGUCGGCGAGGCGGUCGCGGAUGAGGAAGCAGAGGCACCUGGACGAUCUGAUGCUUGUGGUGGCUCAGCUCAGGAAAGACAACCAGCAGCUAAGGGACAACGUGAACGUGGUGAACCAGCAUUACAUGACCCUGGAGACCGAGAAC